rnacentral:rRNA from 1 species
UUUAUGGAGAGUUUGAUCCUGGCUCAGGACGAACGCUGGCGGCGUGCCUAAUACAUGCAAGUCGAGCGGAGAAUGAAAAGCUUGCUUUUCAUUCUUAGCGGCGGGACGGGUGAGUAACACGUGGGCAACCUGCCCUGUGACUGGGAUAACCUCGGGAAACCGAAGCUAAUACCGGAUAACUUAGGAGUCACAUGGCUCUUAAGUAAAGUUGGGUUUACCUAACACUACAGGAUGGCCCGCGGCGCAUUAGCUAGUUGGUAGGGUAACGGCCUACCAAGGCGACGAUGCGUAGCCGACCUGAGAGGGUGAUCGGCCACACUGGGACUGGAGACACGGGCUCUCUGGGAGCAGCAGUAGGAAUCUUCCUGUGGACAAAAGUCUGACGGAGCAACGCCGCGUGAACGAUGAGGCCUUCCGGGUCGUAAAGUUCUGUUGUUAGGGAAGAACAAGUACCGUUCAAAUAGGUCGGUACCUUGACGGUACUGGCGAGAAAGCCACGGCUAACUACGUGCCAGCAGCCGCGGUGGCGUAGGUGGCAAGCGUUGUCCGGAAUUAUUGGGCGUAAAGCGCGCGCAGGCGGUUUCUUGAGUCUGAUGUGAAAGCCCCCGGCUCAACCGGGGAGGAUCGUGGAAACUGCGGGGAGCUUGAGUGCAGAAGAGGAGAGUGGAAUUCCAUGUGCUUGGUGAAAUGCGUAGAUAUAUGGAGGAACACCAGUGGCAAAGCGUCUCUGGUCUGUAACUGGCGCUGAGGCGCGAAAGCGGUGGGGAGCAAACAGGGAUUAGAUACCCUGGUAGUCCACGCCGUAAACGAUGAGUGCUAGGUGUUAGGGGUUUCGAUGCCCUUAGUGCCGAAGUUAACACAUUAAGCACUCCGCCUGGGAGUACAGGCCGCAGUUGAAACUCAAAGAAAUUGACGGGGCCGCACAAGCAGUGGAGCAUGCGGUUUAAUUCGAAGCAACGCGAAGAACCUUACCAGGUCUUGUUUAUCCUUGACAUCCCCGAGAUAGGGCUUUCCCUUCGGGGGACAUAAGUGACAGGUGGUGCAUGGUUGUGGUGAGCAAUUGUCGUGAGAUGUUGGGUUAAGUCCACCAGCGAGCGCAACCCUUGAUCUUAGUUGCCAGCAUUCAGUUGGGCACUCUCAGGUGACUGCCGGUGAUAAACCGGAGGAAGGUGGGGAUGACGUCAAAUCAUCUUCCCACCCCUUGUUACUGGGCUACACACGUGCACUACAAUGGAUGGUACAAAGGGCUGCGAGACCGCACGAGUUAAGCCAAUCCCAUAAAGCCAUUCUCAGUUCGGAUUGUAGGCUGCAACUCGCCUACAUGAAGCAGAUGCUAGUAAUCGCGGAUCAGCGUACCGCGGUAGAUACGUUCAGGCCAACUGGCACACACCCGCCCGUCACACCACGAGUUUGCACCCGAAGUCGGUGGGGUAACGCAAUUUGCGAGCCAGCCGCCUAAGGUGGGACAGAUGAUUGGGGUGAAGUCGUAAUAAGGUAGCCGUAUCGGAAGGUGCGGCUGGAUCACCCUCCUU